AAUCGUACCCCAAACCGACACAGGUGGUCAGGUAGAGAAUACCAAGGCGCUUGAGAGAACUCGGGUGAAGGAACUAGGCAAAAUGGUGCCGUAACUUCGGGAGAAGGCACGCUGGCAUGUAGGUGAAGUCCCUUGCGGAUGGAGCUGAAGCCAGUCGAAGAUACCAGCUGGCUGCAACUGUUUAAUAAAAACACAGCACUGUGCAAACACGAAAGUGGACGUAUACGGUGUGACGCCUGCCCGGUGCUGGAAGGUUAAUUGAUGGGGUCAGCCGCAAGGCGAAGCUCUUGAUCGAAGCCCCAGUAAACGGCGGCCGUAACUAUAACGGUCCUAAGGUAGCGAAAUUCCUUGUCGGGUAAGUUCCGACCUGCACGAAUGGCGUAAUGAUGGCCAGGCUGUCUCCACCCGAGACUCAGUGAAAUUGAACUCGCUGUGAAGAUGCAGUGUACCCGCGGCAAGACGGAAAGACCCCGUGAACCUUUACUAUAGCUUGACACUGAACAUUGAGCCUUGAUGUGUAGGAUAGGUGGGAGGCUUUGAAGCGUGGACGCCAGUCUGCGUGGAGCCAUCCUUGAAAUACCACCCUUUAAUGUUUGAUGUUCUAACUCGGCCCCGUGAUCCGGGGUGAGGACAGUGUCUGGUGGGUAGUUUGACUGGGGCGGUCUCCUCCCAAAGAGUAACGGAGGAGCACGAAGGUUAGCUAAUCACGGUCGGACAUCGUGAGGUUAGUGCAAAGGCAUAAGCUAGCUUGACUGCGAGAGUGACGGCUCGAGCAGGUACGAAAGUAGGUCUUAGUGAUCCGGUGGUUCUGAAUGGAAGGGCCAUCGCUCAACGGAUAAAAGGUACUCCGGGGAUAACAGGCUGAUACCGCCCAAGAGUUCAUAUCGACGGCGGUGUUUGGCACCUCGAUGUCGGCUCAUCACAUCCUGGGGCUGAAGUAGGUCCCAAGGGUAUGGCUGUUCGCCAUUUAAAGUGGUACGCGAGCUGGGUUUAGAACGUCGUGAGACAGUUCGGUCCCUAUCUGCCGUGGGCGUUGGAAGAUUGAGAGGGGUUGCUCCUAGUACGAGAGGACCGGAGUGAACGCACCACUGGUGUUCGGGUUGUCAUGCCAAUGGCAUUGCCCGGUAGCUAAGUGCGGAAAAGAUAAGCGCUGAAAGCAUCUAAGCGCGAAACUUGCCUCAAGAUGAGUCUUCCCUGGGCCUUUAAGGCCCCUGAAGGAACGUUUAAGACUAAGACGUUGAUAGGCUGGGUGUGUAAGUGCAGCGAUGCAUUGAGCUAACCAGUACUAAUGAUCCGUGAGGCUUAACCUU
rnacentral:rRNA from 1 species